AGGAGGCUAUUACACAUAUUCCAUAGAUUAGAAGAGAGCCAUUCAUAACAAAAUUUCGCAUUCUUUGUAAAGCUUUAAAUAAGCUUUCAUUACAAAACUUCACAUGUCUAUUACUUGAGUCGAAGGAGGAGAAGAAGAUUAGAGGAGAAAUCAAGAACCAUUGAAGAAAUUAAAAUUCAAGUCUAUUUUUCAUCUUUCUUUCUAAUUUUCAAUUUCAGGUGAUGUUGUAUUGAUUCCAAUUGUGUUAUUGCAAUAUAGAUUAGAAGAGAGCCAUUCAUAACAAAAUUUCGCAUUCUUUGUAAAGCUUUAAAUAAGCUUUCAUUACAAAACUUCACAUGUCUAUUACUUGAGUCGAAGGAGGAGAAGAAGAUUAGAGGAGAAAUCAAGAACCAUUGAAGAAAUUAAAAUUCAAGUCUAUUUUUCAUCUUUCUUUCUAAUUUUCAAUUUCAGGUGAUGUUGUAUUGAUUCCAAUUGUGUUAUUGCAAUAUUAUGAUUCUUGGCUAGUCUUUUAGAAAAUAAGAUAACGUUGAAUCCUAUUUUAUGGAGUUUUGAUAUAGAUUUUUAGAAUAUAUAUUUACUUUUUUUUUGAAAAUGUAAUUAAAAAGUAUGAAAAAAAUUAUAGAUACAC
rnacentral:lncRNA from 1 species